ACGUGGAGAGAUUCACGGUCCACUUCGGUGGCGCGCACACAGGUGCUGCAUGGCUGUCGUCAGCUCGUGUCGUGAGAUGUUGGGUUAAGUCCCGCAACGAGCGCAACCACGUCCUUAGUUGCCAUCAUUCAGUUGGGCACUCUAGGGAGACUGCCGGUGAUAAGCCGCGAGGAAGGUGUGGAUGACGUCAAGUCCUCAUGGCCCUUACGGGAUGGGCUACACACGUGCUACAAUGGCGGUGACAGUGGGAGGCGAAGGAGCGAUCUGGAGCAAAUCCCCAAAAGCCGUCUCAGUUCGGAUUGCACUCUGCAACUCGAGUGCAUGAAGGCGGAAUCGCUAGUAAUCGUGGAUCAGCAUGCCACGGUGAAUACGUUCCCGGGCCUUGUACACACCGCCCGUCACACCAUGGGAGUUGGUCUUACCCGACGGCGCUGCGCCAACCGCAAGGGGGCAGGCGACCACGGUAGGGUCAGCGACUGGGGUGAAGUCGUAACAAGGUAAGCGUAGACGU
rnacentral:rRNA from 1 species